rnacentral:rRNA from 1 species
UACGUAGGCAGCAAGCGUUGUUCGGAGUUACUGGGCGUAAAGGGUGCGUAGGCGGUUGUUUAAGUUUGGUGUGGAAUCUCCCGGCUCAACCGGGAGGGUGCGCCGAAUACUGAACGGCUAGAGUGCGGGAGAGGAGAGUGGAAUUCCUGGUGUAGCGGUGAAAUGCGUAGAUAUCAGGAGGAACACCGGUGGUGUAGACGGCUCUCUGGACCGUAACUGACGCUGAUGCGCGAAAGCUAGGGGAGCAAACAGG